rnacentral:sRNA from 1 species
AUGUACCACGCGUACCCUCCGAUUCCUCCGCGACGUCCGCGCUUUACUGACGACUACACGCUCCGUGCUGCUGGCC